rnacentral:rRNA from 1 species
UACGAAGGGGGCUAGCGUUGCUCGGAAUCCCUGGGCGUAAAGGGCUCGUAGGCGGCCAACUAAGUCGGAUGUGAAAUCCCCAGGCUUAACCUGGGAACUGCAUCCGAUACUGGAUGGCUUGAAUCCGGGAGAGGGAUGCGGAAUUCCAGGUGUAGCGGUGAAAUGCGUAGAUAUCUGGAGGAACACCGGUGGCGAAGGCGGCAUCCUGGACCGGCAUUGACGCUGAGGAGCGAAAGCCAGGGGAGCAAACGGG